rnacentral:sRNA from 1 species
UUUUUCUACCGCCCCCUUAUAAAGAAGGUCGGGACAGGAAGACUGCCAGGACUCCUAGGCCAAGGGUGGGAAAGGGCAGGCCAGGACCUCCUUCCAACCGCUUCCUGGAGAUUCCCUGCAAGGCCUGAGCCGUUAGGCCUCCCUGGCGUCUCUCCACCUUGGGCCUUAUUAACCUCUUCCUUUCUCAGUUAUGUGCCCUGGAACUACCACGAGCCACAGCCUGGGGUCUAUAACUUUAAUGGCAGCCGGGACCUCAUUGCCUUUCUGAAUGAGGCAGCUCUAGCGAACCUGUUGGUCAUACUGAGACCAGGACCUUACAUCUGUGCAGAGUGGGAGAUGGGGGGUCUCCCAUCCUGGUUGCUUCGAAAACCUGAAAUUCAUCUAAGAACCUCAGAUCCAGACUUCCUUGCCGCAGUGGACUCCUGGUUCAAGGUCUUGCUGCCCAAGAUACAUCCAUGGCUUUACCACAAUGGGGGCAACAUCAUUAGCAUUCAGGUGGAGAAUGAAUAUGGUAGCUACAGAGCCUGUGACUUCAGCUACA